GCUGAGAGGGCGGGGCCGGCCGGCCGGCGCGGAUCGGGGGCGGGGCCCGAAGCCGACGGCCCCGCCCCUGUCUACAGGGCCCCGCCCCUGUCUACAGGGCCCCGCCCCUGUCUACAGGGCCCCGCCCCUGUCUACAGGGCCCCGCCCCUGUCUACAGGGCCCCGCCCCUGUCUACAGGGCCCCGCCCCUGUCUACAGGGCCCCGCCCCUGCCGGUCCCGCCUCCAUGCCCAUCCCAAGAUGGCGGAGAUCCCCCUGUACUUUGUGGACUUGCAGGAUGACUUAGACGACUAUGGAUUUGAAGACUAUGGUACAGAUUGCGACAACAUGAGAGUAACGGCCUUCUUGGACAUUCCAGGCCAGGAUAACCUGCCUCCACUCACUCGCCUGGAGAAGUAUGCUUUCAGCGAGAACACCUUCAACCGGCAGAUUAUUGCCAGAGGGCUGCUUGAUAUCUUCCGGGACUUCAGUAACAAUGAAGAAGACUUCCUCACGGUAAUGGAGAUUGUAGUCAGAUUGUCAGAAGAUGCAGAGCCCACAGUGCGGACUGAGCUGAUGGAACAGAUUCCUCCUAUUGCCAUUUUUUUACAAGAAAACAGAUCAAAUUUUCCAUUGGUGCUCUCUGAAUAUCUCAUACCUAUUAUAGUGAGGUACCUCACAGAUCCAAACAAUCAGGUGAGAAAAUCAAGUCAGGAAGUGCUCUUGAUUCUUCUGGAACAAGACCUAAUUUUCCAGCAUGAUAUUGAAAACAAAGUGUGUCCCAUUCUCCUGCAGCUCUCUGCCCCAGACAGUGAUGACGAAUAUAAAGCAGAAGCUGUGAGCAUAAUCUGCAAAAUGGCUUCAAUGCUGAGUAAGAGUACUGUUGAACGCCUGCUACUCCCCCGAUUCUGUGAACUGUGUGGUGACGGGAAGCUCUUUCAAGUUCGGAAGGUUUGUGCUGCAAAUUUUGGUGAUAUUUGUCAUGCUGUUGGACAAGAAGCCACUGAGAAAUUUUUGAUCCCAAAGUUCUUUGAGCUCUGCUCUGAUGCUGUUUGGGGCAUGCGGAAAGCCUGUGCAGAAUGCUUCACGGCUGUGUCGCACAGCUCCUCCCCUGGGGUCCGCAGAACCCAGCUCUCCCCGCUCUUCAUCAGACUUGUCAGCGACCCCUGCCGAUGGGUGCGCCAGGCUGCCUUCCAGUCCCUCGGCCCCUUCAUUUCCACCUUUGCAAACCCCUCCAGGGCUGGCCUUUGUCUUCGAGAGGAUGGCGCCCUGAGCAUCUGGCCACUCACCCAGGAUUUGGACUCUGGUUUUGCCUCUGGCUCACCUGCUCCCAGCAGUGGUGGUAACACUUCCCCUGCCAGUUUAACUCGUUCAGCAAAGCCUGUGCGGAGGGAGCCAGAGGUACCUGUGGAAGGGACCUCAGCGAAAACCAGAGAUUGCCCACACAGCAGUAGCUCCUCUGACGGCCCAGCGGAAAGCCCUGUGGAAAGCAGUGUGUCGGCUGGAGCUGAGUGGACCAGGCUUUCUCCAGAGACCAGCGCCUUCUCAAAGCUUUCUGACAUCAACGACCUCCCCAUCAGCAGCUACCCUGGAUCCGAUUCCUGGGCCUGCCCAGGGAACACUGAGGAUGUGUUCAGUCAUUUUCUUUAUUGGCGAACUCCUCUCCCUGACAUAAGCAAGGACUUAGAGCUGCUUCUGAGUGAGGCUGGGCCUCAGGAGGACGACUGCAGCAGACCUGGGGUUGUGCACAACAGCUGUGUGGCCCGGAGUGAGAUUCAGAAAGUCCUUGAUAGCUUGCAGGAGCAUCUGAUGAAUGAUCCAGAUGUUCAAGCUCAAGUUCAGGUAUUAUCCGCUGCACUGAGAGCUGCACAGCUCGACUGCGUGAAUGAGGCUGAGAGCAAGCCAACAGCAGGCCUAAAGGAAGUGUCCAUUUCACAUCCCAGCUCUGCCUCUGACAAUCAGAUCGCUCUGGCAGCCUCAUCAUCUCAGAAUGAGCUCUUUGUGGCCAGGAUAUUACAAAGCCCAGAUCCAGGUGGACCCAGAAAUGGAACCAGUGACCAUCUGGAGACUGACCAGAGGCAGGAUCCCACCCCACUUGAAGAGAAUAAAUCUAAAUUACAGGAUGUAAUACCUCAGCCGCUGCUAGAUCAGUAUGUGUCCAUGACUGACCCAGCUCGAGCCCAGACUGUCGAUACUGACAUAGCCAAACACUGUGCCUACAGCCUCCCAGGGGUGGCACUGACCCUGGGCAGGCAAAAUUGGCACUGCCUGAAAGAUACAUAUGAAACACUGGCUUCUGAUGUACAGUGGAAGGUACGGCGAACCCUAGCCUUCUCCAUUCACGAGCUGGCUGUGAUUCUUGGGGAUCAGUUAACAGCAGCUGACCUGGUGCCUAUCUUCAAUGGAUUUUUAAAGGAUCUGGAUGAAGUGCGAAUAGGAGUUCUUAAACACCUGUAUGAUUUUCUAAAGUUGCUUCAUGAAGACAAGAGGAGAGACUAUCUUUAUCAGCUUCAAGAAUUUGUAGUGACUGAUAACAGCAGGAAUUGGAGGUUUCGAUAUGAACUAGCAGAACAGCUGAUACUGAUUCUGGAACUCUAUAGUCCCAAUGAUGUUUAUGAUUACCUAAUGCACAUUGCCUUAAAGUUGUGUGCAGAUCAAGUUUCUGAAGUUCGGUGGAUCUCCUUCAAACUAGUCGUGGCAAUUCUGCAGAAGUUCUAUUCCAACAGUGAAAGUGCAUUGGGGUUAAAUUUCAUCAAUGAGCUCAUCAUAAGGUUCCGGCACUGUUCUAAGUGGGUUGGAAGGCAAGCUUUCGCUUUCAUUUGUCAGAUUCUGAAAUGACUUCUUUGGGAUUAAAGAAGUGUAUGUUUCUAGAAGACUGCUGGAAAACAUCAUUUCUUUGGCUGUGACUUUCUUGGAGCAGGCAGUGGUGAGCAAGGAGUGUGUCCCCGUGGACCAGUUCGUGGAGCACCUGCUUCCCAGCCUCCUGAGCCUCGCAUCAGAUCCUGUGCCCAACGUGAGGGUUCUGCUAGCCAAGGCCCUAAGGCAGAUGCUGUUGGAAAAGGCGUAUUUUAGAAAUGCCGGUAACCCUCAUCUUGAAGUCAUUGAAGAGACCAUCUUAGCAUUGCAGUCAGACCGGGACCAAGAUGUUUCCUUUUUUGCAGCCCUAGAACCAAAGCGGCGGAAUAUCAUAGACACUGCUGUACUAGAAAAACAGAAUUAACUACUCCGUGAUGAGUUGCAAUCUGAUUAUUUCAUGCUUGGCACAUAAGGCUUACCAUAACUUGAAGGGGAACUGAUUGUAUUAUACCAGCUGGGGGAGAUUUUGGAACCUUUCAUACUGUGCACUCAGUGACUGACGCCUUUUCCAUCUGUACCCCGAAGGGACUGAACCUGAUGGGGGCUUUUUCUGGAUGGCUGGGCCAUCCUGAUCAAGCCUGAUCAGUAAGUCUGUGGAAAGAUUGCAGACUAGGUGGCUAACUGGGCACUGGAGCCUCUGAACCAUCAGGCUGUCUGCCAGCAAGUUCUUUUCUCCAUGGCAGACUGUAUGAUCUGAAGUCCCCUCAACCCUCUCCAAGUAAAGUAGUUUAUUAGAAGCUCUUAAGUCUUUAAUAGACCUGCAUAUUUCCUUCCCUUAUGAUUUCCUAUAAAAUAUAGUUUAUGGUGUUAUAUUUUUAACUGAAAUACUGUACAUAUGUAAAUAACUCUUGACAGGAAGAAAAUAUAUUAAUGUAGUAUUUGCCCCCUAUCAGUGAGCUGAACAAAUACAUCAUUUAAAUCUAUGCUGCACUUUGAGUUGCUACAAAUAUGGUUCAAUUUGUUUAUUUUUGAAAAAUGUGAUAAAGAAAUCUAAAGAAUGAUUGAUGGCAGUCUUUCUAAUAUUGUGCCUUUGUUAUAAACUACUUGGAACUUUUCCUCAGGCACUCACUCCUCCCCGCCUGACAGGAACUGUUUCCAUGAAGAUAUGUGUUGGCCUUUGAUAGAGGCAUAAAGCUGAAAGAUUUUUCAUUUUUAUAUGGAUAUGCUGUCAUAUGUUUAAGAACUUGAGAGGGAAAUGGAUAACUGAGGUUUUUCCAUUUUUAUAUGGAUAUGCUAUAUGUUUAAAAACUUGGGAGGGAAAUUGAUAACUGAGAUGCAUGGAUAUUGACUUUAUAUCUAAUGCUUUAGAAUCUUAACCAAAAAAAGGAAAACCUAGUUCUGAUCAGAACCUGCCCACAAGUUCUACGCACCUGUGACUUCGGGGGUCACAUUAUAUACUCUUCAAAUUGACUUAAGCACACAUCACUUAGAUUUCAUGCGUUUCAAAUUUAGACUAAGAGAAAGAUGCUCUAGAAUUUAACCAGGUUUUUUAAAUCAGUAAUUUAAGAUUUUCUAACCAUUUGAACAAAUUUUACAUACAUGUAUGCACAUGUCAUUUUUCGUGUUUCUAUUUUUAUGUUCUCAAAGGUAGGAUAAGGGAAGGAAGGAGGAAACAGCCCAUUUGGGGUUCAAGAGCUAGCUCUGCUAAGGGCUUGUAAGCUAUUUCUAUUCUGCCCUUUGGUCUUUUUCUUGUUUGUCUUGUCUUUAUUUUUAAAUGAAAUUCUUGAAGCUAUGUAUUGAAUUUUCUAGUAUAGAGGAUGUGACUCCCACCUCCAAAUUCCAUUUAACUGAUUCUUUUAAAAGAAAGAUAGGCGUAUAUACACCAUGCCAAAAUAAUAAUAAGGUACAUAUGUGAGAAUUGCAAAUUAUACCCCAGGGUAGCAUUUACGCAGCGUCGGCAAAAAGUGAGUUAAUAAAUCAGAAGCUACAUAUUAAAAAAAAAAUCAGUCAAUCCAUCGUGUGUUUAAUUCUUGCCUAAAGUAAAUGGAGAUAUUGUUUUGCUUUGGUAACCAGGAAUUUUUAAUUUUUUUUUAUUGCCCGCAAAUUGAGAUUGUUUUGUUAAAAUCUGUUGAUCUAGCAGCGAGUAGAAUUAUUCAACUGGAAUCUUGUAUUCUAUUCAGAGCUUAAUUUUCCGUUAAGGAAAAAAAUGAGCUUCAGUUUGUGUUGUGAUGUGUAUAAUUUGCAUGCUGAAUCACAACAUGCUUGGAGAGAUUGUAGAGACUCUUUGGUAAAUAAUCUAACCUUUACAAUUUCCGUUUAUAUGUUAACAUUUUUCUAUAAUAUGAGUGCCUUUCCAAUGCAAAGAUAUUUUUUAUGGCUGUAAUUUCUCUGUAAAAAUAAUUUUUAAGCGUACAUUUUAUUCUUUUUUUUGCAACAACCGAGAUUUUUCCAAGAUUGUUCUGUUUCCCCUUGCCCUCCUAGCUCCCGCCCCCAUCACUUCGGCGCUUGUAUUUUCUAAUUAUUCAUGGGUGCCAUGUUGAGUGUUUGUAAUUUGACCACCACAGGUAAGCUUCCUGUUUACUUGAACACUCAGCCUCAUCUCCGGCGAAUGAAUGGAAAAGCACAGAUGGGUUUCUCCCAGGCAUAGCUCACUCCAAAGGUGUCUUCAUAGAGCCAGCCCAGCCUUUCUCAAGGGAGCAUUUCCCCACUUAAUGUGUUUAUCAGUAUCUUUCUUCCGCCAAGAAUUCAAGAGCAUUUUCAAAAUUGAUAGAUUUUGGUGCAGUUUUGCAAGUUUCCAUGGAAGGCUGUCUCCCACUUCUGGGAUCCACCCCCAAGUCGGGACCAGAUCGGCUGCAGGGAGUCAUGUUUAUGAAAUGGUGGUGGUUUUUUUUUUUUUUUUUUCAUUCAUACUAGAAGUGUUUUUAUAACGAAAAUCUGCACUUUACAACUCUGCAGGCCAUGCAUGCAAUGGUGAUUUACAGCCUUGUUUACGUGUAAUUCCUCCAGGUAAUUUAUCCCAAUUUAUGCAAAGAUCCUAUUUUAAACAGACACGGAGAAGUGGUAACCGUUUCCUAACAGCAGCAAGAAUGCCCCUUCCGUUUGCCUGGUGAAAAGAACUGACAUUAACAGCAGCUUGGAGGCUUCGAGGAGGUGGGGACGUGGCCUGAGCUCGGGACGGGGGGCCCAGUGCCGGUUGUCGGAGCGUGGCCGCCCGGCGAUGUCUCUGUAUUUAUCAAUAAAUCUCCCGGUUGCUCUGGGAA